rnacentral:rRNA from 1 species
UACGAAGGGUGCAAACGUUGCUCGGAAUUAUUGGGCGUAAAGCGCACGUAGGCGGCAUUGCAAGUCGGAUGUGAAACGUCUUAUGGCUUAACCAUAAAAGUGCAUCCGAAACUGCAGUGCUUGAGUACUUAAGAGGAUCGCGGAAUUCCCGGUGAGAGGUGAAAUUCGUAGAUAUCGGGAGGAACACCAGUGGCGAAGGCGGCGAUCUGGGAAGAUACUGACGCUGAGGUGCGAAAGCGUGGGGAGCAAACAGG